rnacentral:rRNA from 1 species
CUGCAUGGCUGUCGUCAGCUCGUGUCGUGAGAUGUUGGGUUAAGUCCGUAACGAGCGCAACCCUUGUCCUUAGUUACCAGCACGUUAUGGUGGGCACUCUAAGGAGACUGCCGGUGCAAACCGGAGGAAGUGGGGAUGACGUCAAGUCAUCAUGGCCUUACGGCCUGGGCUACACACGUGCUACAAUGGUCGGUACAAAGGGUUGCCAAGCCGCGAGGUGGAGCUAAUCCCAUAAAACCGAUCGUAGUCCGGAUCGCAGUCUGCAACUCGACUGCGUGAAGUCGGAAUCGCUAGUAAUCGUGAAUCAGAAUGUCACGGUGAAUACGUUCCCGGGCCUU